AGAGUUUGAUCCUGCUCAGAAUGAACGCUGGCGGCGUGCUUAACACAUGCAAGUCGCACGAGAACGCUUCAGCUUGCUGAAGUUAGUAAAGUGGCGCACGGGUGAGUAACGCGUGGGUAAUCUACCCCCGAAUUGGGGAUAACAUCGCGAAAGCGAUGCUAAUACCGGAUAAUAUCUUAAAAACCUCGGUUUUAAAGAUCAAAGGUGGCCUCUACAUGUAAGCUUCUGUUUGGGGAUGAGCCCGCGUACCAUUAGCUUGUUGGUAGGGUAAUGGCCUACCAAGGCUACGAUGGUUAGCUGGUCUGAGAGGAUGAUCAGCCACACUGGAACUGACACACGGUCCAGACUCCUACGGGGGGCAGCAGUGAGGAAUUUUGCGCAAUGGGGGAAACCCUGACGCAGCAACGCCGCGUGAGUGAUGAAGGCUUUCGGGUCGUAAAGCUCUGUCAAGUGGGAAGAACCCACAUGGUGAUAAUACCACUAUGUGUUGACGGUACCACUGAAGGAAGCACCGGCUAACUCCGUGCCAGCAGCCGCGGUAAUACGGAGGAUGCAAGCGUUAUCCGGAUUCAUUGGGUUUUAAGGGUCCGUAGGCGGACUUUUAAGUCAGAGGUGAAAGCCUGCAGCUCAACUGCAGAAUUGCCUUUGAUACUGGAAGUCUUGAGUAUAGUUGAAGAAGGCGGAAUACGUCAUGUAGCGGUGAAAUGCAUAGAUAUGACGUAGAACACCGAUUGCGAAGGCAGCUUUCUAAGCUAUAACUGACGCCGAGGGACGAAAGCGUGGGGAGCGAACAGGAUUAGAUACCCUGGUAGUCCACGCUGUAAACGAUGAUAACUCGCUGUUGGCGAUAAACAGUCAGCGGCUAAGCGAAAGCGUUAAGUUAUCCACCUGGGGAGUACGUUCGCAAGAAUGAAACUCAAAGGAAUUGACGGGGGCCCGCACAAGCGGUGGAGCAUGUGGUUUAAUUCGAUGAUACGCGAGGAACCUUACCAGGGCUUAAAUGCAGAGUGACCUUUCCGGAAACGGAGAUUCUCUUCGGAGCAAUUUGCAAGGUGCUGCAUGGUUGUCGUCAGCUCGUGCCGUGAGGUGUUAGGUUAAGUCCUGCAACGAGCGCAACCCCUAUCUUUAGUUGCCAGCGAUUCGGUCGGGGACUCUAAAGAGACUGCCAGCGCAAGCUGUGAGGAAGGUGGGGAUGACGUCAAAUCAUCACGGCCCUUACGUCCUGGGCUACACACGUGCUACAAUGGUAAAGACAGAGGGCAGCCACCUGGUGACAGGGAGCAAAUCCUUAAACUUUAUCUCAGUUCGGAUCGAAGUCUGCAACUCGACUUCGUGAAGCUGGAUCACCUCC
rnacentral:rRNA from 1 species